UGCAGAAUCUAUUGUAACGAGAAUUUAUGACUGCACAGCAGGAAGGAGAGCAAAGAUUUACUGCACCAAGGUGGAAAGGAUUUCUGAAAUAGCCUAAUCAUUAAUAAGAAAAGGAUGGAGCCACUGAUUAGGAGAUAAUGAUUGGAGAUGGUGGGGGGGCAAGAUGAGUUCUGCAGGAAGUUUCCCACUUGCUCAAAGUCGCCUUUCACCUUUAGCUAUGCAGUCAUCGUUCUGUGCAUUUUCUUUUCUACUGACAUGAAAAGGGGGAAUGCUUGUGAUCUGGAAUUUGCUUGUAACAUUUUAUUGCUCUUGAUCCCCCGUCGACAGGAUUGCACUUCAAAACAACAGACUUGGGAGUCGUCAACAACUUCUAAAGUGGUCGGAAAGGGCUCCAAGGCUCCAGUUUUUCAGUUUCCAUACAAUGAUGUCAGCAGUUUCCAUGGAAAACAGCGCAGCUGUCAGCAAAGAGCCUGAAUUGUAAAAUUGUACAAGUCUGAAAGUUCAAUACAACCUCACCAGUAAGAACACAAAUCAAAUAGCUCAGUAAUUAUUCUUUCCUCAGUUGUUUCAGCAGCGCAAGGACCAAAUGAAG